GAAUGGGUUCUAUUCCCAAACCGUGUAUACAUACCUUUGUUGCUUUGGCAGGCCGCCUUUUAGGCGUUGGCUCCGGCUGACUGCGCCUGUCAGAGAACCCAAACUCUUUUGUUUAGUGAUGUCUGAGUACUAUAUAAUAGUUAAAACUUUCAACAACGGAUCUCUUGGUUCUGGCAUCGAUGAAGAACGCAGCGAAAUGCGAUAAGUAAUGUGAAUUGCAGAAUUCAGUGAAUCAUCGAAUCUUUGAACGCACAUUGCGCCCCUUGGUAUUCCGAGGGCAUGCCUGUUCGAGCGUCAUUAUAACCACUCAAGCCUCGGCUUGGUCUUGGGGUUCGCGGUCUCGCGGCCCUUAAAAUCAGUGGCGGUGCCGUCUGGCUCUAAGCGUAGUAAUUUUCUCGCUAUAGGGUCCAGGCGACCGCCUGCCAUAACCCCCCAUUCUUUACGGUUGACCUCGGAUCAGGUAGGGAUACCCGCUGAACUUAAGCAUAUCAAUA
rnacentral:rRNA from 1 species